rnacentral:rRNA from 1 species
CCUACGGGUGGCAGCAGUGAGGAAUAUUGGUCAAUGGGCGGGAGCCUGAACCAGCCAAGCCGCGUGAGGGAAGAAGGCGCCAAGCGUCGUAAACUUCUUUUGUCGGGGAACAAAGGCCGCCACGCGUGCCGGUGUGAGUGUACCUGAAGAAAAAGCAUCGGCUAACUCCGUGCCAGCAGCCGCGGUAAUACGGAGGAUGCGAGCGUUAUCCGGAUUUAUUGGGUUUAAAGGGUGCGUAGGCGGUCGGGAAAGUCAGCGGUAAAAGCCCGGGGCUCAACCCCGGCCAGCCGUUGAAACUGGCAGACUAGAGAGGGCGAGAAGUACGCGGAAUGCGCGGUGUAGCGGUGAAAUGCAUAGAUAUCGCGCAGAACUCCGAUUGCGAAGGCAGCGUGCCGGCGCCAGACUGACGCUGAGGCACGAAAGCGUGGGUAUCGAACAGGAUUAGAUACCCGUGUAGUC